ACUGUUUCCAUUUUUGUUGGAAUUUGCAUUGCUUUAUUUGACCACUUAAUGGACUAUUUGUAAAUGUUUAUUCGCUUGUGAUUAUAGACUAGUUUGACGGCAGAUUGGAGGAAAUGAAGGAUUUCUAAAAGGUGAUAUUUGGAAGUUAAUUUAGGGAGGCUACUGCGGUGAAGGGCUGUAGCCUAGGACUUGGCCCAGCCAUGAUGUACAUGUAGUUUCAACACACUUUAUACCUGUGUUUAAGUUACAUGAGGAAGUUAUUAAGAGAAGAUGAUGGAGCAAGGAGUGACCAAUGAUUGGGCAGCAUUAGUGGAGAGCACAGAACCUGAGUUUGGGUGUGACCUACUAUGAUGCGUUGUGCUGGGUAUGGCCGUGGAAUAAGGCUGGGAAGCCCUUUGUUCUCUAUGCGGUCCCGGGCAUGGCUACCAACCGCAUCCCCGGACGACUCUACUGACCGAUGGCUCAGCAGGGCCCACAGGGCGACGGUUCGCCAUCUGCCCCGGGUCCCUCACCAGCUACUGCUCGCUGAGUAGCACCCGCUCGGAAGUCAACUCCCUCGAAGCGGGCAAUGGGUUCCACCGCGGGUUCACUGCGCUCCACCGCUUCUGCCACGGAUGAGUCAGCUAGCCAGCAUAAUGCUCAGCCUUUCCGGACUGCUUCACCGUCGGGGCUUCCGUCCACCACACCUCAUCCGCACUUUUGGCCUGCAGAUGGAUUCUGGUCAUGAGGCCAUCAAUCCUGACUUUGGAUCAAUGCUCCUCCCAGGAGAUGACCGACCACUCGGGGGAUCCCUGCCCGCUUUUUCCUCCAACUGUUCCGGCCCCCAGUUCCCCUGCACCGGCGAAAACUAAGAAGCGCAAGGCCAAGUCAUCUUCCUCGGCCUCUUCUUCAUCCAAGGUUGAGAAGAGACGCCACUCCCGAUUCGGAUCCUUCCCAUGGAUGGCGACCCUCCAGUCUCUCACAGAGGCUGUCAGCUCUCUCGCUCGCAAGAUGGACUCUAAACCUCAGCCGGUCGCGACAGCACCAGACCCGGAGCCCACCCGGCCGUCCCUCCUCCCUCACACGGGGCCCUCUCCGAGACCGAUGCGAGUUUUAUUCUUCAACCAGAACCGUCCCCUCAUCCAGUUGCAGUGUCAGAAUGGUUGCUCGUUAUGCUCGGAACACGGGUCAGCUUGUCCCGCCGGUCUUCAGCCUGUCUCCUCGGAGGAUAAUGACAUCGACUCGGUGGCUGGUCUGACCCAGCCGGAAAGUCACCCGCGCCUUCUCCAACGGGACAUGAUCCACAUCCUUGGACCCUACAAAGCCUGAACAGGGACACUCUUCGUUCAAAUGCCACCCUUCACGCCUUGAGUUGGCUGAACCCAUCUUCCUGGAAUUUCCUUUAGACCAUUCUUGUGUGGAGAUGAUGAACACCCUCGCAAAGGUUAGACGCUUGGCCACAGCUCCUCCCAGGGCCCUGUCCUACUACUGUUUUCCUCUAGAGGAUGUCUCUCGCUUCUUGUCGUCCCUGAUGCUGCGAUAGACAAGAUCUCGUGUGAUUCUGGCAAGCGCAAUAUUUUUCGGGAUAAGGACAAGGCCAACCUUGAAACAGUUCUCUGCCGCGUGGACUCAGCGUUUUGAUUCGGCCUCCGGUGUUCAGCCUUCCUCCUCCUUCUUUUGGAGUAUAUUGCCUAGGCUUGUGAAGAGGACUCUCCGGUCUCCCCAGACUUUGCAGCCCUAGCUCUGCAAGGGCUCGACGAGGGACUCAACUCGAUUUUUGAGCAAUUUAUCUGUGUCUCCCUUCUUGCCACUUCUAACCGCAGAGCCAACGCGGUGGAUGCCAUAAACAUCCCCUACGAAUCUGUCAAAGCAAACUCAUGGAUCUCCUGCUCCUUGGGAACGAUCUUUUCGCCGGGAAGUUCACCGAGGUCCUUGAGUCAGAGGUGAAGUGUAUGGAGACUGCCAAGAAGAUCUCAAGAAGAGCCUACAGCUCACUCCAGCUGACAGCCCAACUGCCACCGAGAUGACGAGUGGAUGCACCCCAGUCUACAGGCCCCAGUCGGGCCCCGGGUGAGCCCUGCCCACAACCGCUUUCAGAAGACCUCAGCCACGCCUCGCCGGCCGUGGGUUUUCUGGCCGUGCCCCUGGUCCCUCCAGGGGACGGUGCUGGUGACUACUUCCAUUCGUCUUCGGCGGCCGCCAAUUCCAACCCGUUGGCGACCACCUGGGCAACUUCAUCAGGUUCUGGGGGAGAUCACCGCAGACAGCUGGGUCCUCCCCAUCAUUGCCUACGACUACUCCCUUGAGUUCACGAGUCCCCCGCUGUCCGGGUCUUCCGUUCCAUUCCUCCCCCAUGCGACAAAUCCAAGUGCCUGGCUCUGGAGGAGGAGAUCUCAACGAUGUUACGCAAAGGUGCCAUAACACCGGUACAUCCAAACCAGUAAUCCACUGGUUUCCUUUCGUCCUUUUUCCUGACACUCAAGAAAGAACCGGGAAAAUGGCAACCGAUAAUCAAUCUGAAACCGCUCAAUCAAACAAGUUCAUCAAGCCAAGGCGGUUUCGAAUGGAGACACUGAGCGUGGUCCUGUGCUCCUUACCAGUCCUGUGCUGGGCCACAUCCAUAGAUCUGCGGGACGCGUAUCUCCAUAUCCCAAUACACGAACAGUUUUGCAAGUUCCUCCGCUUCAAGUACUCCGGCCAAACCUACCAGUUUCGGGCCCUUCCCUUCGGCCUCUCGACCUCACCUAGGGUCUUUACCAGGAUCACCUAGACUGUCGCCACCUACCUACGACGGCACAACGUCCUCAUUUUUCAAUACCUGGACAACUGGCUGAUCGUCGGUCACUCCCCCGACGAGGCCAGAGCCUGCACCUCUCUCACCCUCGAUGUCACGACUUGCCUGGAGUUCCUCGUCAACCAAGACAAGUCUGGCCUUGACCCAGCACAGCGGCUGACCUACCUUGGGGCGAUCCUCGACCUUCACAGAGGCAUCGUGACCCCAACACCGGAAUGCAUCCUGAACCUACAACAAUGCGUCGUUCAGUUUUUGUGAUCCAAAGCACCUCCCGCGCUGGCCUGGCUCCGUCUUCUCGGACUAAUGGCGAGUUUGGUCGACCUCGUCCCAUGGUGUCGACUUCAACUACAUCUCCUGUCUCGGUCCUGCCCCAAGAGCGACCUGAUUUCUACCUCAGUCCCUCUCCCACUGGAGGUUCACAAUCACCUCCGGUGGUGGACCGUCAAUGAGCACCUGUCGACCGGUCGUCCUUUCGUUCCCUCCAGACCGAACAUCACAAUGGCAAUGGACGCGUCGCUAUUCUGAUGGGGGGCCUCCCUUCCUCCAUUUCACACAUCUGUGGUUUGGGACUCUUCCUUCCGCAACAAACACAUCAACCUGCUGGAACUUCAGACAAUAUUCAAUGCCCUUCGUCUCUUCCAGCGGCACUUAGUGGGUCUCUUGGUUCAAAUCCACAGCGACAACUCCACAGUGGUAGUGCAUCAACCACCAAGGCGGUACUCGCUCCCCCCAGCUUUGCGUGUUUACAUGGCAGAUCUUCAUGUGGGCAAUCGAUCAUGGAAUCUCUCUCCAGGCAGCUCACAUAGCAGGAACAGCCAACAGCAUAGCAGACGCUCUCUCCCGAGGCACUGUCCGUCCGACUGAGUGGACUCUUCAUCCGAGCGUGGUCAGGCAGAUCUUCGAGGAGAUCGAACGUCCCCAUGUUGACCUCUUCGCAUCAGCCGACAAUACUCAUCUUCCGACAUUCUGCUCCAGGUUUCCUCACCCACGAGCCUGGGCGACGGACGCUCUACAAGUGGACUGGUCCGGCCUUCUGUCCAAUGAUCAUUCAGAGCAUCAGGCCUUUCUGCAGACGCUGCAUCCAUGGCAGCAUGGGGCCAAUGACCGUCCACACGCAGAACUUACAACAGUCGACUACAACAUUUUAAUAGAUGUGUAACGACCACUAUGUUUUUCCAAAUGAAGCUUCUGUGAGCUGAGUUGCACACUUUUUCAUGUAUCUCUUUCAGUCGGCCUCCAGAAUGCCACCAUCUGCAACGACCGGCCGGCUGUCCAUUCAGGGUUCAGCGACGGGUCAACGAUUUCUGAUAACGCCGCCAUCCACCAUCUCCUUUGGGAAAUGUUUGUCGAGCGUCCUCACAUGAAACGCCUCGUUCUGUCUUGUGAUCUUGGGAGCAUCUUGCGUGUUCUCGCCUGUCCACCCUGCGAGCCGCUUUUGUGCAUCUGACCUCCAUCUCAGCAUCAAACUGGCGUUCCUCCUGGCCGUCGUUACUUCCAGAUGCGGCAGCAAAGUGCAUGCUCUGUCAACUGCUGAAGGUCACAUAGUUGGGAACCGCAUGGAGUUGCCUUAUCCCAGCCAUUGAGUUCCUGACAAAGUACCAGACACCUACGUUCCAGCCUCCAAACAUAUUUAUCCUCGAUAUAACGUCUCUUUCGGGAGAUGACUGACAAAAAAUGGUGACCAGUUCGUACUCUUAAGUGGUACCUCGCCAGGACCAAGCAUCGUCGUGAACCUGGUUCCAGACUCUUCAUCACUACCACAAAAGCCCUUUCAUCCAGCGGCGAAAGACGCUAUUGCUCGGUGACAACCUCGGCCAUUAUCUGCGCGAACCAAGACUGGCCGACUCGGCAUGACAAGAAGACUCGUUCUCUUAUCAGAGCCCAUGAUGUUCAUGCCUCCUCCACGGCCUGGUCAUAAUUCAGAGGCAUUUCCUUGGCGGAUAUAUGCCAGGCGGCUUGCUGGAAAUCCCCCUCCACCUUCACCGAGUGCUACCUGAAGGAUUUUCUGAGGAGCGAGACAGCUCACGGCGCAGCAACUAGCGCCGUUCCACACCGAACAAUGAACUCCUCAUUGUAGAUACCUUUUCCUCUGAAGCGGGCUCAAGAGAGAUCAAGGUCCAUUGAGGACCCAAGUGACAGCCACUCUGACAGUAAUAUGGAGCAAGAACAGUGGAUGGAGAAAACAGCAGAUUUGGGAAGGCCUCCUUGCCAGGUGAAUGUACUGCCAUGGCUGCCUACAUGAACGUUAAAGCUGGCUGGCGUCAUGGUGCGAGUGGACAGACCGAUGUAAUCUCUAUAAAGUGAAGAGACAGGUUAUGUCAUAAGUAGCACAGACUUCCUCAUAUGAAAGCUGUGGGUAUGCCCCAGGAGAAGCAGACCAUGAUGCUGAUGAGAAGAGCGCCCUCGCUUCCUUCAAACUGGAGAGAAAUCGAAGGAAGAUGGAGGACAAGAUCCGAUGGGUCUUCACUUCAUGAGAAUGUCAAGGAGAGGAAGUAACUCAGAUAGA